rnacentral:rRNA from 1 species
AUUGAACGCUGGCGGCAGGCCUAACACAUGCAAGUCGAGCGGUAGAGAGGUGCUUGCAUCUCUUGAGAGCGGCGGACGGGUGAGUAAUGCCUAGGAAUCUGCCUAGUGGUGGGGGAUAACGUUCGGAAACGGACGCUAAUACCGCAUACGUCCUACGGGAGAAAGCGGGGGAUCUUCGGACCUCGCGCCAUUAGAUGAGCCUAGGUCGGAUUAGCUAGUUGGUGAGGUAAUGGCUCACCAAGGCGACGAUCCGUAACUGGUCUGAGAGGAUGAUCAGUCACACUGGAACUGAGACACGGUCCAGACUCCUACGGGAGGCAGCAGUGGGGGAAUAUUGGACAAUGGGCGAAAGCCUGAUCCAGCCAUGCCGCGUGUGUGAAGAAGGUCUUCGGAUUGUAAAGCAC